rnacentral:misc_RNA from 1 species
UUAAUGGGUAUUAUUGGCGCCUUGCUGGCCUUGGUUUUGGUUUUAGUUUUGUUUGGAUUUUGUUUUAAGAGAAGAAAACAGAGAUCAGGUGAAAGGCUUAGAAGCACAGGUGACGAUUUCGAGGAGGCUGGACCAAGGAGCUUUUCCUAUGAGGAAUUGGCUAUUGCUACCAAUAACUNNNNNNNNNGCUGGGAAAGGGAGGGUUUGGAAUGGUUUACUUGGGCUCCUUGAGUAAUGGAAAUCCGGAC